rnacentral:misc_RNA from 1 species
GAUGAAGAACGUAGCGAAAUGCGAUACGUAAUGUGAAUUGCAGAAUUCAGUGAAUCAUCGAGUCUUUGAACGCACAUUGCGCCCCCUGGUAUCCCGAGGGGCAUGCCUGUUCGAGCGUCAUUUCACCACUCAAGCCUGGCUUGGUGUUGGGCGACGUCCCCUUUGGGGACGCGCCUCGAAACGCUCGGCGGCGUGGCACCGGCUUUAAGCGUAGCAGAAUCUUUCGCUUUGGAAGUCGGGGCCCCGUCUGCCGGAAGACCUACUCGCAAGGUUGACCUCGGAUCAGGCAGGGAUACCCGCUGAACUUAAGCAUAUCAAUAAGCGGAGGA